ensembl:lncRNA
GAAAGGAGGCUGAGUAACAGCGAGCUCCGCUUCAAUCUGCUUAAUUUAUCCUAUCAUUCACUUUGUUCCGAUGAAAGUUUUUGUGAUUUGGGCGUCUAAGUGAUAUUUGAACAAGAUAAUGUCAAAAAACUCGAAAUCCUCGGCCUGUGGGGACAUUAAAAAACACUUACGUUCACACGCGCCUGAUGCGUCUCAGGAUCAAGAUGGCCGAGGCCCAGCCGAGCCUGAAACGGUCUCGGAGUCUCUUGCUGAGAAACACGACAUCGCCAAUAUUUACACGAUCCUGACAAAAAUAUCCGGUGACAUGGAUGGUAUUACGGAGAUACGGAAAACUACCGCGUCGAUGGAGGCUAAAUUAUCCGCUCUCAUCACAAGGCUGGACGAGGUGGAAAAACGAGUGGAGUUUUUGGAAGGAUCCGAGAAAGAACUAAAAGCUAAUCCACCUGCCAGUAAAGUCGAGCUGGAUCAGUUAUGGGACAAAAUUGAAGAUAUGGAAAAUCGCAGCAGACGCAACAAUAUUCGUAUCGUCGGAAUUCCGGAAGGCAAAGAAGGCCAGGAUAUGGUGAAGUUUCUGGACGGCAUUAUUCCGCCUCUGAUUGAUCGGUCGGACCGGCAAUUAGAGAUAGAACGCGCGCACAGAUCCCCCAGUCAACGUCCCAACUCGACUGACAAACCCCGGCCUAUCCUGGCAAGAUUUCUACGUUCUGCCGACAGGGACUUUGUGCUUCGUGCAGCCAGGAAUAAAGGUAGUCUAAGCUGGGAAAACAACAAUAUAAUGGUCUUCCCGGACUUCGCCAGAUCUACUCAGCUGAAGAGAGAGCGUUUUAAGGAGUGUAAAAAAAUUCUCCACACGAAAAAGGUGAGCUUCGCGCUUCUGUAUCCUGCUAAACUGAGAAUCGAAGCAAGAGACGGCCGCAAGACUUUCACAUGCCCGCGACAGGCUAUGGCUUUCAUUGAAAAAAUGGAGUAAACGUUGUCACUGCCUUUUCCUUAUCCCUCUUUUUAUUUUUAUUUUUUUUUUUAUUUUUUAUUUUUUUUCAAUUCCCCCCCCCUCAUUUUGAACAGAGGCUUGCAAGGCAUGUAUCUUGCAUGUUUACGGCGAUUUUAUUUAUUUAUUUUU